CUCAAACUUCAGUAUAACAUCAGAACAACCAGAGGGGCUUAUUAACACACACACUGGUGGCGGUCAUAGAGUGGGGGUCAUGCCCAGAGUUUCAGACCCAAAGUCAAUCAUUUUCUGAGAAAUGAGGAAAAAGAUGGAGGGCACAGAGACCAAUAAGAGCAAGGAGGGAGAGAAAAAACCUGAAACUCAAGGGAGAAACAAUCUACAGAGGAAUAAAAAAGGCACACAGGCUGCCUCAGGUGUGGAAGGACUGAGAGAGCACAUUGAUGGGUCUCCCCAGCAACGGCCAGUGUUCUGCAGAUCCAAGAAAUGGAAAGAGAACGAGAAUCUUCAGGUGUAACAGUGCUUCCUGCCCCAUGGAUGCCCUCACUGCUGUACCCAUGUUGCUUCAGCCUGAAAACAGACUCCUUCGUUUAAAUGCUACCUCCCCACUGAAAAACCCUUCUGGAUUUGUGCAGUGGGAAUGAAAUCUACCCUCUCUACACUUUGCAUGAGUUUCUAUUAGAUGACAGUCAUGUUUCAUGUGAAUGUAAACUGCGUGAUCUUGAAAGUAGUGUGAACAGAAAAUGACCAAGUCUUGUCAACCAGUAAAAAGAAGUGGCUAAAAAGACACUGAGAUAACUGGCAUCAUCAGAACAUAAACUGCAGAUUAGCUAACAGCGUCGUGUCCAUGUUCAGCUUCCGGAAUUUGGUAACUACACCACAGUCUUCAGAGAACAGCCAUUCUUGGCAAUGUACACUGAAGUAUUUAUGAAUCGAGAGGCAUGAUUUCUGCAACUUACUGUCAUGUGGUUAAGAAAAAAAACUAUAUAGAAAGAGAACGAUGAAAUAGAUGGUGUGAAAUGUGAGCACCGGGUGAAUCUGGGUAAAGGGUAUAUAGCAGUUCCUUGCACUAUUAUUGCAACACUUCUGUUAAGUUUAAGAUCAUUUCCAAGUGAAAAUGAAAAGGUUGCCUUGGGUGUCCAACCACUACCCCAAUCAAAGCUUGUGUCUUCCUGUUCACUCACCCAAAUGCCCCCUCCCCCGCCCCCACUGAAGU